GUUCAUCAGCUGUAAAUCUCUCGUCUUUGGACCGAGGGCUCUCUCUCUACAUACGAGAGCUUUUUCCUCCUUAGUGAGGUUUUCAAUCCCGAAAUAAAAAUUACUAUCAAAUGUACAACACUCGGUUCAUCUUAUCUCUCCGCCUCAGUUUUCUUAAACACUCAACACAGAAACCUCUAAAAUUUGCUGCUUCGAUACUUUUAGUUUCCUAUUAUUUUCUACGAACUUUUGAUUUCUCUAUUAGCCCCCAACGUCAGUUAUAUCAUAUAUGCAUCAGAAGGAACCCAUAUAUUGGGGGAAAUAGGUUAAAACUACUGCAGAUUCAAUUUCAACUGUAGAGAAAUUCUAAAGGUGAAGAUGGGGGAAGAAAUUUCAGACCGCCUUCAAAAAGUCAUCCUAACCAAGGAAGAAGAUGUUGUCGCAAUUGAAUUACCAGAUAUUCAAUCAAGUAUGAAGGACUGUGAAGUAAGUCCUCUUAGUAACGUGAUCUCUGACUAAACUGUAAAAUUUUCAAGGAAUUAGGAAUGCUAUGACUUUAGCGUGGGGAAACCCUGCUGGACUACAAAUUAAUGAAGUCAAAUGGAAUUCUUUUUAGUUCAUUUUUAAAGAUAAGGUGAGUAGGGAUAAAGUUUACUUGGGGUCACCGUGGCUGUAUGAUUGAUACCUUCUAAAUCUUCAUCCUUGGAAGCCAGGAGUAGAUAGUGAAUUCCCGAGUUUUAGCAUAUGUAAUUUGUGGGUUCAGGUUUGGAACAUUCGUUUACAUUGGAUGUCCAUGGAAGUUGGUUACAAAAUAGGACAAGCCGUGGGAGGUACUGCUGAUGUUGUAAUUCCUCAAAAUGGAAGAAAAGAGGGACAAUAUAUGAGUAUUAAAGUUAUGAUGAAUAUCCAUAAGCCACUACCAAGGGGGAAAUUGAUCAAAUUAGGGCCGGAAACUAUUUGGGUUGACAUAAGAUAUGAGAAUGGUAUGCUGGGACACAAUGAUAAAGCCUGUGUACAAAGAGAGAAGGAUCUUUGAUCAGGUAAUCUUACAAAUGGUCAGUUUGGGACAUGGCUAUGGGCAGAAAAUCAUUUGUCUUUCUCAGAAAAUCUAAGGCGUCAAGGCUAGAACCAUACUAAUGGUGGAAAUAAGGUGAUCAUCCCUCUUAUCUCUAAACUAGUUGAAAGAAAUCGAGAAAUUAAUGACGAAAUCUCGACAAAUCUGUAAGAGGGCACAAACUCGUCUGGUACUCAACUUGGUAGAGGAAAAAAGGAUAUACUUUGUAGGGAUCAAAAUGGACUAGAAGAAAAGGAGAUUAUGGGGCCUAAUGAAAAAGCUGAUGAUAAAUGGACCCAAUAGAAUGAGCAGAUGCAGCCUAUGGACAUAACAAAUUACGGGACACAAAAAGAUGAAAUGGUUGGUGGUGUACAAAAAGCUGGAAAUUGUUCAGAUACUAGACAGAAUGAGAAAGGGUGCAGACAAUCGAACUUUCAUAACCAUGUCGAAACAGGGGUCGAUAUAACAGAUUGUCAUGGACUAGAAAAUUAUCAAGUUGAGGGAUUAGAAGGUGACUUGGAAGGUAGAACUUCUGCUGGUAGAAAAGUAAACUCAAAACAGUCAUUGACGUUUGCCAUGGAGACUGAAAUUGUAAGCUCAAAGAUGUCAUAUACUGAGAACAAGGGCCAGUGUGAUUAACAUUGAUAAGGAAAAAUUCCAAAAAUACAAUCAAGAUUUAAAUUAAAAUUGAUCUUGUGCUGAAACGAAAGAAUGGUGACAACAUCAAUUUGAUGAAGAUACAAGAAAACAAGAAUGAGGGAUGUUCAGCUUCACUCGAUACUUGGGAAGAAGAUAAAACUUAUGCCACAACAAUGUGUGAUGUUGGAAGUAAACCACCAGAUGAGUUUACAAAUGAUAAAGACAUGUUUGUUGAGAAUGUUACAAAGAGUAUUGAGAAAGGCGACAAGGACGACCCUCCCAAGAUGUUCAUGCAGUAUCAAAGAAAGGUUACAGAUGGGAAACAAGGCAUAAAAUUUGGGAAUAAUGACGGUACGCUGAAGGAUGGCAAGGUAAAUGCAACACUUGAUGUACAUGAUCAAGAUAUGCUAAUUGAUGUCCCAAUCAUGAAUGAUUCUAAGACUCUAGGGGUUAAAAUAAAAGGAAAAGAAAUCACUACAUCAAAUACUAUUGGAAAGCACCGAAAGAAAGAGGUGAUGCGAGAGACCAGUCUGAAAUGGUCUCCCUUCAUGCAAUGAAGUUGCUAGCGUGGAACUGUCGAGGGUUGGGGAGAUCUUUGACAGUUCCCCGUUUAAAGGAGACAAUAUAUCUCCACUCCCCAGAAUGUAUUCUUUUAUGUGAUACCAAAAACCAACAACGAAAACUUCAGUGGCUCCAAAACAAGAUUGGGAUGCAGAACUCUUAUAUUGUUGAUCCAGUGGGACUCUCAUGGACUUGCUUUAUUCUGGAAUGAAGAACUUGAGGUUGUGGCCCUUUAUUAAAUUAAAGAAUUUACACCCGGGCGUCAAAAGACCCGAUCCACAAACAAAAAAUCUGAUAACAUACACCUAACAAACAUUCUAGAAUCAAUCGAAAAAGGAAAGUGAAGCAUCAAGCAUCCGGUCAUCUUACUCAUUGCCAAUCUCUAUUCUUAUGGGUGUAUUUACAUAAGCGGACUGCUGCUGCCAUCUUCAAUGCUGAGGAGAUGAUGUUGAACCAAAUCUCUUCUCCCCCAUUUCAGGAACGAGCUCCAUUUCAGAGGCAAGCUCAUCAAGAAAGCUAAGUUACGAUUUACUCUCCAUCUCUUCUCCCACAGAUCUUUGAGCUCGAUUACUUCUUCUUUCUGUGUUUGAAUUGUUGUUAUCUGUACUAUUCUGCAUCUUAAUCCUUACCACCACUAAUUUGAAGCUGAAUCCGGCAAUAGGCUAACCUUUUAAAAUUUUGCUUCCAGUUCCUUUAAUUGAUGGAUUGAAUUUCUCCCAAAAAUAAUACCACCACCUAAUCUCCGAAACUAGUAGUUUAAAUAGUAAAUUGGUCUAGCCCUAAUUCUUUGCUAUGUCACAGGUGACACUUGAAGAGACAACUGAGUACAUACCCUUUUCAUUCACCCAGAGCAUGAAGAUCUUGAUUUGGUAUUUGAUUACACCUCAAAGCUCUCACUAGGUGCUAAUACUCAAACCAAAAUAGAAGUACUUCUAAUCCCCAUGUUUUAAACGAAUCAAGUAGUGCUAUAGCUGCGUAGCAAGUUAUCUGCAACAUGUUAAUUCUCUGAACAUCUAAACAUCUGCUUGUUGUCUGCGAAUUUGUGGCACACCUGUUUUAUCUAGAUAAAGUAUCCGCCUUUCUUCGAUUGGAAUAUCUUGAACCUGUUUUAUUAAGAAACUCCCCGCAAAAA